AAACAUACGUCAUCUCAAUGCACCAUUCACAGAAGAAAGACACUGUCACGUACAGUACAUACCGGAUCCUUCUAUACAGUGAAAUAUUCACCUCUCAGAUUCCAGAUGUUGGGGAAUGAUUCCCACUUGUCCUGCUUAUGGGUCAGAUGUUGAGCAGGCAUGGAGAGGCACCCAACAAGAUCAUCAUGCCAGAGACUGCUGAUUAAAAUGUACAGAUGCACCAUUAGAUUUACAAUCACAACAAUCAAGGAAAGUUAGGUCUCAAAACCCCCAAACAUUAUUCCCAUAAAUAGGAAAUGCUUAUUGACACUUUAGCUUUUGAGCAUCUCAUUACAGCACCACUCUGCAGCUCAAACUAUGGCAAUGGUGAUUUUGAUGAUAUCUCACUCCUGGGAGUGACAAAGUCACAGAGGACCCAGCUGCUACUGGUGUCCCAAAGCCACCUCUGGCCAUAUACUGCUAACUUGUUUACUGACAUGGUGCCAGGCAAACUCAUCGUAAAGUGGUCUGGGAAAUAUCCAAUUGCAGUGAAAGAAACAAGGCUGCCAUCCCUAGAAAUUUUCAGGAGAGGACUGCAGAGAAUCUCUAUGAAAGUUUCAUUGAGAUCUGUCAACAGGAUAAAAUGGACAUCUCUAUUCAGAUAAACAAAGUACUCCACAUGCCCUUGCCAAGCCCAGCAAGCCGAGUAAGUGAAUAACAGAUGCUGACUCUGCUGCUGUUUGUUCUACCUCUGCCCAAGCACAGGACAUUAGUCUGAUGUGGAUUGUGUAAUCAGACCACAAUACCACUCUUUUUUAAUUUAUUCCCUAAUAUUUUAUUUUGUAGCAUUAGAUCUGUAAAGCAACGAAAACUCAAUAUGUUUGUUUUCUAAAAUUACAGGUGGGGUGUGUGCUAUUUUUAAAUGGGGAGAAAAGAUGGUGGGAGGGACAUGAGGUUUCAUGGGGGAAAAAAACAUUAUAAGGAACAUUCAUGUACACACUUACUCAAGCACCUUUCCCCUACAUCAGAGGGCUCAUCAGCACUCACCUGUCAGGACUUCAGCUCUUUUAUGGAUUUUUUUAAAGGGGAGAAAAGGUAUUUGACUGUGUAGAGUGGCCUGGGACACAAUUAAGGCCUUUAUAAGACCAAACAAAUAAAUCUGUUUAUUAAUGGUAAUAUAUGUCUCUCCCUUUUAAUCAAAUGGAACCUGACAAAGAUACUCUGUCCCCACAACUAUUUUAUCUAGUAAUUGGGCCAUUUGUGGAAACUAUGACAUGUUUCAAAUUACUGGAAAUGAAUAUAAGUUAGCAGUGAGAUUAUAAAAUGGCAUUUAGUCCAAUGAACUCUUUACUAUACAAUCAAGUCCCUCAUUCCCAACUACAACUAUCAUUUGGCUAGUGUUCAGUUUACAUACUGAAUUUAAACAAAUCUGUAGAAGAUUUCAACCUGA